rnacentral:tRNA from 1 species
GUGGUGGCUCAGUCGGGUAAGCGCUCGACUCUCACGCCAGACAUGCGGGUUCAAAUCCCGUGGCAGACA